rnacentral:rRNA from 1 species
UACGGGGGGAGCAAGCGUUGUUCGGAUUUACUGGGCGUAAAGGGCGCGUAGGCGGCCACUUCAAGUCAAUUGUGAAAUCUCCGGGCUUAACUCGGAAAGGUCAACUGAUACUGCAGGGCUAGAGUGCGGAAGGGGCAACUGGAAUUCUCGGUGUAGCGGUGAAAUGCGUAGAUAUCUGGAGGAACACCGGUGGCGAAGGCGGCGCCCUGGACCAACACUGACACUGAUGAGCGAAAGCCAGGGGAGCAAACGGG